GGGGAUAUAGCUCAAUUGGGAGAGCGCAGCGUUCGCAACGCUGAGGUUGGGGGUUCGAGCCCCCCUAUCUCCACCA
rnacentral:tRNA from 1 species